rnacentral:rRNA from 1 species
AUUGAACGCUGGCGGCAGGCUUAACACAUGCAAGUCGAGCGGAGUGAUGGUGCUUGCACUAUCACUUAGCGGCGGACGGGUGAGUAAUGCUUAGGAAUCUGCCUAUUAGUGGGGGACAACAUCUCGAAAGGGAUGCUAAUACCGCAUACGUCCUACGGGAGAAAGCAGGGGAUCACUUGUGACCUUGCGCUAAUAGAUGAGCCUAAGUCGGAUUAGCUAGUUGGUGGGGUAAAGGCCUACCAAGGCGACGAUCUGUAGCGGGUCUGAGAGGAUGAUCCGCCACAAUGGGACUGAGACACGGCCCAGACUCCUACGGGAGGCAGCAGUGGGGAAUAUUGGACAAUGGGGGGAACCCUGAUCCAGCCAUGCCGCGUGUGUGAAGAAGGCCUUAUGGUUGUAAAGCACUUUAAGCGAGGAGGAGGCUCUUUUGGUUAAUACCCAAGAUGAGUGGACGUUACUCGCAGAAUAAGUACCGGCUAACUCUGUGCCAGCCGCCGCGGUAA